UUAGAUCAGAAGCGAGAAUGUUGACAUGAGUAGCGAUAAAGAGGGUGAGAGACCCUCUCGCCGUAAGUCCAAGGGUUCCUGCUUAAAGCUAAUCUGAGCAGGGUAGGCCGGCCCCUAAGGCGAGGCCGAAAGGCGUAGUCGAUGGGAACCAGGUUAAUAUUCCUGGGCCAGGAGGAAGUGACGGAUCUCGAAGGUAGUUUGCCCUUAUCGGAUUGGGUGGGCUGCUCAGAGGUUCCAGGAAAUAGCCCUCCAUCAGACCGUACCCUAAACCGACACAGGUGGACUGGUAGAGUAUACCAAGGCGCUUGAGAGAACCACGUUAAAGGAACUCGGCAAAAUGCCUCCGUAAGUUCGCGAGAAGGAGGCCCCAUAUCUGGGCAACCAGGUGUGGGGGGCACAAACUAGGGGGUGGCGACUGUUUACUUAAAACACAGGGCUGUGCGAAGCCGUAAGGCGACGUAUACAGUCUGACGCCUGCCCGGUGCUGGAAGGUUAAAAGGAGGGGUGCAAGCUCUGAAUUGAAGCCCCAGUAAACGGCGGCCGUAACGAUAACGGUCCUAAGGUAGCGAAAUUCCUUGUCGGGUAAGUUCCGACCUGCACGAAUGGCGUAACGAUCUCCCCGCUGUCUCUAACGUGGACUCAGCGAAAUUGAACUGUGUGUCAAGAUGCACACUACCCGCGGUUAGACGGAAAGACCCCAUGCACCUUUACUCCAGCUUUGCACUGGUAUCAGGAUUGUGAUGUGCAGGAUAGGUGGUAGGCAUCGAAGCGGGGACGCCAGUUCUCGUGGAGCCUCCCUUGAGAUACCACCCUACGCCAUCUUGAUAUCUAACCGCGGCCCGUUAUCCGGGUCCGGGACCCUGCAUGGUGGGGAGUUUGACUGGGGCGGUCGCCUCCCAAACAGUAACGGAGGCGCGCGAAGGUAGGCUCAGACCGGUCGGAAAUCGGUCGUUGAGUGCAAUGGCAGAAGCCUGCCUGACUGCAAGUCUGACAAGACGAGCAGAGACGAAAGUCGGUCAUAGUGGUCCGGUGGUCCCAAGUGGGAGGGCCAUCGCUCAACGGAUAAAAGGUACGCUGGGGAUAACAGGCUGAUGAUGCCCAAGAGUCCAUAUCGACGGCAUCGUUUGGCACCUCGAUGUCGGCUCAUCUCAUCCUGGGGCUGGAGCAGGUCCCAAGGGUAUGGCUGUUCGCCAUUUAAAGAGGUACGUGAGCUGGGUUUAGAACGUCGUGAGACAGUUCGGUCCCUAUCUGCCGUGGGUGUAGGAGACUUGAGAAGAGUUGCCCCUAGUACGAGAGGACCGGGGUGAACGAACCACUGGUGGACCAGUUGUCGUGCCAACGGCAGUGCUGGGUAGCUAUGUUCGGACAGGAUAACCGCUGAAGGCAUCUAAGCGGGAAGCCCCCUUCAAAACAAGGUCUCCCUUGAGAGCCGUGGAAGACCACCACGUCGAUAGGCCGGAGGUGUAAGUGCAGCAAUGCAUUCAGCUGACCGGUACUAAUUGCU
rnacentral:rRNA from 1 species